GACGAACGCUGGCGGCGUGCCUAAUACAUGCAAGUAGAACGCACAGUUUAUACCGUAGCUUGCUACACCAUAAACUGUGAGUUGCGAACGGGUGAGUAACGCGUAGGUAACCUGCCUGGUAGCGGGGGAUAACUAUUGGAAACGAUAGCUAAUACCGCAUAAUAUUGAUUAUUGCAUGAUAAUUGAUUGAAAGAUGCUAUUGCAUCACUACCAGAUGGACCUGCGUUGUAUUAGCUAGUAGGUGAGGUAACGGCUCACCUAGGCGACGAUACAUAGCCGACCUGAGAGGGUGAUCGGCCACACUGGGACUGAGACACGGCCCAUACUCCUACGGGAGGCAGCAGUAGGGAAUCUUCAGCAAUGGACGAAAGUCUGACCGAGCAACGCCGCGUGAGUGAAGAAGGUUUUCGGAUCGUAAAGCUCUGUUGUAAGAGAAGAACGGGUGUGAGAGUGGAAAGUUCACACUGUGACGGUAUCUUACCAGAAAGGGACGGCUAACUACGUG
rnacentral:rRNA from 1 species